rnacentral:tRNA from 1 species
CAAAAAAUAGUUUAACUAGAAUACUAGCUUUGGGGGCUAGUGGUGGAGGUUAAAUUCCUCCUUUUUUGA